GCCUUAGUAGUAUAAAAAUUACACUGGUUUUGUAAACCAAAAAUGAGAGUUAAUUCUCCUAAGACA
rnacentral:tRNA from 1 species